GGGUAUAUAGCUCAGUGGUAGAGCACGUGCUUAGCAGGUACAAGGUCUUGGGUUCAAUUCCCAGCACUCCCG
rnacentral:tRNA from 1 species